rnacentral:piRNA from 1 species
UCUUUUCUGAAAAUAGAGACAAUAAAAGGA